rnacentral:tRNA from 1 species
GCUGUCGGUGGUUCAGUGGUAGAAUACUCGCCUGCCACGCGGGUGACCCGGGUUCGAUUCCCGGCUGACGCA